rnacentral:rRNA from 1 species
UUAGAGUUUGAUCCUGGCUCAGGACGAACGCUGGCGGCGUGCCUAACACAUGCAAGUCGAGCGAAUGAAGUUCCUUCGGGAACGGAUUUAGCGGCGGACGGGUGAGUAACACGUGGGCAACCUGCCUCAUAGAGGGGAAUAGCCUUCCGAAAGGGAGAUUAAUACCGCAUAAGAUUGUAGUACCGCAUGGUACAGCAAUUAAAGGAGCAAUCCGCUAUGAGAUGGGCCCGCGGCGCAUUAGCUAGUUGGUGAGGUAACGGCUCACCAAGGCGACGAUGCGUAGCCGACCUGAGAGGGUGAUCGGCCACAUUGGGACUGAGACACGGCCCACACUCCUACGGGAGGCAGCAGUGGGGAAUAUUGCACAAUGGGGGAAACCCUGAUGCAGCAACGCCGCGUGAGUGAUGACGGCCUUCGGGUUGUAAAGCUCUGUCUUCAGGGACGAUAAUGACGGUACCUGAGGAGGAAGCCACGGCUAACUACGUGCCAGCAGCCGCGGUAAUACGUAGGUGGCGAGCGUUGUCCGGAUUUACUGGGCGUAAAGGGAGCGUAGGGCGGAUUUUUAAGUGAGAUGUGAAAUACUCGGGCUUAACCUGAGUGCUGCAUUUCAAACUGGAAGUCUAGAGUGCGGGAGAGGAAGAAGGGAAUUUCCUAGUGUAGCGGUGAAAAUGCGUAAAGAAUUAAGGAAAAAACCCCAGUGGCGAAGGGCCUUUUCCUCUUGGACUUGUAACUGGACGCUGAGGCUCCGAAAGCGUGGGGAAACAAAAAAGGAAUAAAAUCCCC